GUGACCCUGGGGUUGUAGUUGAUGAAAAUAUGGCCGCGCGCCUGAUCAAUGGUGUGAAACAGCGGGUUCCAGAUGAACAUUGGCAGCAUGUAGCCCGGAAGGGAGUUGGCAAGCACCAUCUUGCCGGAAAACAGCAUAUUGGACCGCUG
rfam:Alphaproteobacteria bacterium MedPE-SWcel Alphaproteobacteria-MedPE-SWcel-C2, whole genome shotgun sequence.